UUGAACGCUGGCGGCAUGCCUUACACAUGCAAGUCGAACGGCAGCACGGGUGCUUGCACCUGGUGGCGAGUGGCGAACGGGUGAGUAAUACAUCGGAACAUGUCCUGUAGUGGGGGAUAGCCCGGCGAAAGCCGGAUUAAUACCGCAUACUAUCUACGGAUGAAAGCGGGGGACCUUCGGGCCUCGCGCUAUAGGGUUGGCCGAUGGCUGAUUAGCUAGUUGGUGGGGUAAAGGCCUACCAAGACGACGAUCAGUAGCUGGUCUGAGCGGACGACCAGCCACACUGGGACUGAGACACGGCCCAGACUCCUACGGGAGGCAGCAGUGGGGAAUUUUGGACAAUGGGCGAAAGCCUGAUCCAGCAAUGCCGCGUGUGUGAAGAAGGCCUUCGGGUUGUAAAGCACUUUUGUCCGGAAAGAAAUCCUUGGCCCUAAUACGGUCGGGGGAUGACGGUACCGGAAGAAUAAGCACCGGCUAACUACGUG
rnacentral:rRNA from 1 species